rnacentral:rRNA from 1 species
AGUGAACGCUGGCGGUAGGCCUAACACAUGCAAGUCGAACGGCAGCACAGUAAGAGCUUGCUCUUACGGGUGGCGAGUGGCGGACGAGUGAGGAAUACAUCGGAAUCUACUUUUUCGUGGGGGAUAACGUAGGGAAACUUACGCUAAUACCGCAUACGACCUACGGGUGAAAGCAGGGGAUCUUCGGACCUUGCGCGAUUGAAUGAGCCGAUGUCGGAUUAGCUAGUUGGCGGGGUAAAGGCCCACCAAGGCGACGAUCCGUAGCUGGUCUGAGAGGAUGAUCAGCCACACUGGAACUGAGACACGGUCCAGACUCCUACGGGAGGCAGCAGUGGGGAAUAUUGGACAAUGGGCGCAAGCCUGAUCCAGCCAUACCGCGUGGGUGAAGAAGGCCUUCGGGUUGUAGAGCCCUUUUGUUGGGAAAGAGAAGCAGCAGGUUAAUACCCCGCUGUUCUGACGGUACCCAAAGAAUAAGCACCGGCUAACUUCGUG